AACGCGUAAGCAACCUGCCCUCAACUGGGGGAUAGCCCGGCGAAAGCUGGGGUAAACCCGUACGGUCCCACGAAGUCACCUGGUUUUUUGGGUAAACAUUUAUGGGUUGAGGAGGGGCUUGCGUCUGAUUAGCUAGUUGGCGGGGUAACGGCCCACCAAGGCGAUGAUCAGUAGGGGUUCUGAGAGGAUUGGCCCCCACAUGGGUACUGAGAUACGGACCCAACUCCUACGGGAGGCAGCAGUAGGGAAUAUUGGGCAAUGGGCGCAAGCCUGACCCAGCCAUGCCGCGUGCAGGAUGAAGGCGCUCAGCGUUGUAAACUGCUUUUAUCGGUGAAGAACGGCAGUCCUGCGGGAUUGUGUGACGGUAGCCGAGGAAUAAGCACCGGCUAACUCCGUGCCAGCAGCCGCGGUAAUACGGAGGGUGCAAGCGUUGUCCGGAUUUAUUGGGUUUAAAGGGUGCGUAGGUGGUCGUCUAAGUCUGGUUUUAAAGUUGGCUGCUUAACAGUCAAAGGUGGCUGGAAACUGGACGACUUGAAUGGGAUGGCGGUAGCCGGAAUGGGUCAUGUAGCGGUGAAAUGCAUAGAUAUGACCCGG
rnacentral:rRNA from 1 species